GUGCGGGCCCGGAACGACGCCGGGAUUCGACCCCCGAUCGCGCAGCGAGCCGCCGCGAGAAACGUACUGUGGGUCUCUCUAUGGAGCCAUCUGUCUUGGCAGGAGGAACGGCAGAGGAGCUGGAGGAGGCGGAGGAGCUGCAGGCCAGGGGGAGCGCAGGCCGGGCCAGCCCCGACU